GCCCCUAUAACUCAAUGGUAGAGUAGUUGACUUUUAAUCAAUUAAUCCAGGUUUGAGUCCUGGUAGGGGCA
rnacentral:tRNA from 1 species